UACGUAGGGGGCAAGCGUUGUCCGGAUUUAUUGGGCGUAAAGAGCGUGUAGGCGGCCAGGUAGGUCAGCUGUGAAAACUCGAGGCUCAACCUCGAGACGCCGGUUGAAACCAUCUGGCUAGAGUCCGGAAGAGGAGAGUGGAAUUCCUGGUGUAGCGGUGAAAUGCGCAGAUAUCAGGAAGAACACCAGUGGCGAAGGCGGCUUUCUGGUCUGUAACUGACGCUGAGGCGCGAAAGCGUGGGGAGCAAACAGG
rnacentral:rRNA from 1 species